AAGCCAUACUAAAGAUAUUUCCACAGAUGAUCCUUGAACCUAUCCCAUGUCUCAAAAAGAGACUCCAAUUUUAUUUGCAUAAAAGAAGAUAUUUUAUUCUUGAGCUU